rnacentral:lncRNA from 1 species
GCACAACAACAAUUCACACCAAAAUUAACUUCACCACAAAUCCAACCAGAAUAACUGGGGAAUAUUCAACAUUUUUGUUGGAUUUUUAAAACAAAUUGAAAACACGUGUAACCAAAAUAUUUGAAUAGGAAGGGUUUUGAAUCAUGGUGCAACAAGGGUUUUGAAGGGGCUUUGUUGCACCAACACUCAUGCACAAGAGCACAAACAAACAUCACUCCCUGACCAUCAAGGUAGCAACCAACACAAGAUCAAACAAUCGAGACAAAAGGAAAAAUAAAUAAG